rnacentral:lncRNA from 1 species
GUUUUCACCAACAACCUCUUACCGUUUCCCUAUCUAAAUGCUACUUUUAGUAAGGAUCCCUCCCAAUUUGACAUCUACCUAAAUUCAUUUUCACCACACUUGUACAUGGAUCCCCUAAUUAAGUGACAGAUUACUAGUUCUACAAACGAUAAUGCAAAGUCGAUAUUUUAUCGAUAAAAUGAUUUUUCUGUACUUCUUAAGAAAUAAACGUCUAUCGAGUAUAUAUUACUAAAGCCUAUAAGUUUAUUUUGGCAGAGAAGAGAAAACGAGGAUAAACCUUUCUUGCAGAAGAAAAAGACAAGCUAGUGAAAUUGCUGACGUCUCAUAGAGACACAAUAUUAAACAAAAAACGGAUGGGACCACGAACGAAGCCAAAAACAAAGCUUGGAUCCAGUCACAAAUAGUUUUAAUGCGACAGGAACCCUUUACAGUUUCAGGUGGUGCGAGAAAUUGGAAAGACGUGUAAAAACAUGCUGCGCCCAGCCCACCUCAAAUUGAAUUGGUGCAGGAGGAUGAUGAUAAUGUUUGGUACAUCAUAUGAGGACUAAUAUUAAAAUAUUUGUUUAC